GACGGGGUGGCCCAAUGGUUAGCGCGUUGGACUCCGGAUUGAGCGGUCCAGGUUCAAGCGCUGGUCGGGGUCA